UCUCCAAGUUACCUCUACCCUCGUGGCUGC
rnacentral:piRNA from 2 species